CUCUCGGGAACAGACUUAAGAGCAUAUGUGAUGUCAGGAGGUGGUGUUACCCUUAAGAACUUCAAGCCACGGUUUAGGGGCAAAAGAUGUUUUCUGAUUUUCCCUAUACGAGGCUCUGAGAGGAAAGGUUUAGUAAGUGUCGAAGUCAAGAAUAAGCAAGGCCAGUAUGAUAUGAAAUUAUUGGCAGUAGAUAUACCAAUGGCCGCAGGACCUGACCAACGCCUAUACCUGAUUGGUGAUGAAGAAGAAUACAGGGUUGGUGGUGGUCUUAUUGCUGAGCUAAGGGAUCCUGUUGUUAAAGCAAUGGCAGCAACUAAAGAGUUUGAAGAACGGGAUGAUUUGGAGGAUGAGGAGGAUGCUGAAAGAGAGCUCCAAGAAGCGGAGAGAAAGCACCAGGAAGAAAUUGAAAAGCUUGAAAAGGGUGAUUCAAGAUGAUUAAGCUGAACUUUUUUUGUAUCCUUGGUUUUACAUUCACGUUCUUUACAUUAGAUAGAGCAUCCAAAGACUAACAAUGUUCCAACUGUUGAUUUUGCAAGUUUCCCUUACUUCUCAGUGAAUUAACAGAACUAUAUGGCAUGCAGAGGCAGGAAAAAUAGAUGAUCAUACACUCCGAAUUUUCUGUAAUAGUUUGUCGUUGGCCAAUAAGUAUGAAAUCGG
rnacentral:misc_RNA from 1 species